rnacentral:rRNA from 2 species
GCUCAGGACGAACGCUGGCGGCGUGCUUAACACAUGCAAGUCGAGCGGUAAGGCCCUUCGGGGUACACGAGCGGCGAACGGGUGAGUAACACGUGAGUAACCUGCCCCUGACUCUGGGAUAAGCCCGGGAAACCGGGUCUAAUACCGGAUAUGACUCCUGCUCGCAUGGGUGGGGGUGGAAAGGUUGGUUUUCCUUCCGGUCGGGGAUGGGCUCGCGGCCUAUCAGCUUGUUGGUGGGGUGACGGCCUACCAAGGCGAUGACGGGUAGCCGGCCUGAGAGGGCGACCGGCCACACUGGGACUGAGACACGGCCCAGACUCCUGCGGGAGGCAGCAGUGGGGAAUAUUGCGCAAUGGGCGG